rnacentral:lncRNA from 1 species
CUAAACUUUCCUUCGAGUCAACAUAAGCACACAACUAGGAAAGAAAGUAGAACGAUGCUCAGCUAUUUAAACUUUCCUUCGAGUCAACAUACGCACACAACUAGGAAAGAGAGUAAAGAAAUUCAUCAGAUGAAUAGAUAGCUAGCACGUAAGCAUCAGAGGCAUGCAACAGCGGAACAUAACACAUCUUAGCCUCAAAG